rnacentral:rRNA from 1 species
AGCGAACGCUGGCGGCAGGCUUAACACAUGCAGGUCGAGCGGGCGUAGCAAUACGUCAGCGGCAGACGGGUGAGUAACGCGUGGGAACAUACCUUUUGGUUCGGAACAACACAGGGAAACUUGUGCUAAUACCGGAUAAGCCCUUACGGGGAAAGAUUUAUCGCCGAAAGAUUGGCCCGCGUCUGAUUAGCUAGUUGGUGAGGUAACGGCUCACCAAGGCGACGAUCAGUAGCUGGCUGAGAGGAUGAUCAGCCACAUUGGGACUGAGACACGGCCCAAA